UAUCCUCAAUAAUCAUAAUUUAUGAGUUUGACAUUCAUCAUUCACAUCUCAUCUUAGAAGAGUGACUUCAAAGUCGGUUCUCAAGCAUAGUUUCUCGACUUUUACAAAGACCAACUUGCGAUUGUAGAAUACCUAACAGAAUUGUGCGAAGUGGUGUAGUAGUGGUAGAUAGUUGUUAUGAUGGAGCGGUAGAGUAUAAACAGAGAAACUUUACAAAUUGACGAGAAUUCCAUUGAAUUAAAUCUUCAUAAGAUGUUAAAGCCCUUUGUAUUUUUUUAUUAGCAUUACAUAUUAUCAACGAAUUAUCAACAUUAACAUAUAAAACUAAAUAUUCAAUCUAUCCUAGUGAAAUCACAAUUUGAAACUUCCAAUUUACCAAGUGCUGUGCGACUCUAUGAAUAACUGUGAUCUUCGCAUAUAAAGCUGUUUCCGAUUACUGGUACCAUGAAUUCCCUCCCUAUUCUCAAUCCCAAAGAUAAUCUGAUGAAAUCUUGAUGAAUUGAUCCAUCACAACGUCCUGUUCUGCAACAGAUGAGAGUUAUAAUAUGUUUAUGAAUAUGUCUGCAACAUUUAUGUUAGUAGGUUGAUUUUUGCAAUAAGUAAGGGCUACAUUGAUGUGGUAUAUGUUAUCGAUAGUAUUGUUUAUGAAUUGUCAAUAGAGUUCAAUUUUCAAAACAAAUCAGGUUACAUCAUGAGACUUUACAAACUUAACUGUUGUAACAUGAUAGGCUAAUAAUUGCAGCGCAACAAAUCCAUGUCAGCCCUUCUCAAGCAAUCGGAGUUUAAUCGGGAAAAUUUACCAUCGGAGUAAUGGAGGAUAUUCGAGCUGGGAUAAUACCUGUUGGAUGAAUUGCACGCAUAGCUCCAGCCUAUGUGACAGCACAUUCAACAAUAUUGACACUCAUUGUUGCAGAACAUGCCUCACAUUACAUAGAGACAUACUGUUACAAUACGUGCAGGUCCAUCCAUACAUGAUGAGCAUGAAGCACACUCUCAAGACUGGAGCUUAGUAGGUCUACUAGACCACAGCGGCUUGUAAUCACCAGCAAAGCGGAUUCAAGACGGGGUCUAAUUAGAGUCCACCAUUAUGCAACUAAUAGCAUUGCCAAGCUGCCUAUUCAUCAUCCACUGCAACAAAUUUAGAUCUACUGCUAGUUGCAUCAUGAUCAUGAUCAUUAAGUGUAUUGAUUCAAUACAAAGGAGACCUUUUCAGUCGUGGAGACUGGAUAAUCAAGGUUGUUGGACCAUAAAAUAAGUCAAAAAUUAGCGUAUAUGACAUAUACCACAACUAUGAAGUUGACAUGAUACAUGAUCAGCAUGUUUGUAGCUGUCUGUUGAAAAAGUCGCUUUGAGACGAAAUACAGUUGAUGUGAAGCCAAACUGAUGGAUAUCCGUUGGAGGUGGAUCCAGAAGGUAGUGCGGGGACUGAUGCUGCUCGACUUGAACUUCAAGGAGGCCUGGGGUUGUUGCGCACAUACUCGAUCCAGGAUUACUGCAUAAGAGGUAUUGACGGAGUGGUGUGUGGAGAUGAGGCGGUCGGCGGGACUGAUGCAUUGGGCAUCACAGCUUCUCUGGCGACGGGCUCCGAAUGAUGUACGUCCGGAUAGGAGACGAACGAGUUCGGGUUGGUGUCAUCCAUGGUGAACUCGUGAAGAUAAUACAAUGUGCGGAGAAAUUGAUUCAAUUGUAGUGUAUGAAAUUGUUGAUCAGAACAAGUGCGAAUUGGAAUAAGUGUGGUCUGGCCAGAGAAUUCGAAUUGUAGUGCCAGAAUGCCAGACUGGAGUUCUGCCAAUAGUAGGUUUGUGUUUGUGCCAGCGCUGACCGUCCUGCUGCUUUGGCCUUGUCGUCCUAGUUUUGUCUGUUUUGUUUCAUCAGCCCAUCUUGUUGCAAGACCAAAAUUGUGUUUGUCAUGUAAUUUCGAUCGGAAAUUUCUUGUAAAUAAUUGUUUGAGUGUCGUGUGUGUGAAUUAUAAAUAUAACAGCGUAAAUAGUA